rnacentral:rRNA from 1 species
GACGAACGCUGGCGGCGUGCCUAACACAUGCAAGUCGAGCGGGGGGAGUACUUCGGUACAAACCUAGCGGCGGACGGGUGAGUAACACGUGGGUAACCUGCCUCAAAGUGGGGGAUAGCCUUCCGAAAGGAAGAUUAAUACCGCAUAACCCAUAGCUUCCGCAUGGAAGCAAUGGUAAAGAUUUAUCGCUUUGAGAUGGACCCGCGGCGCAUUAGCUAGUUGGUGAGGUAACGGCUCCCCAAGGCCACGAUGCGUAGCCGACCUGAGAGGGUGAUCGGCCACAUUGGAACUGAGACACGGUCCAGACUCCUACGGGAGGCAGCAGUGGGGAAUAUUGCACAAUGGGCGAAAGCCUGAUGCAGCAACGCCGCGUGAGUGAUGAAGGCCUUCGGGUUGUAAAGCUCUGUCUUUUGGGACGAUAAUGACGGUACCAAAGGAGGAAGCCACGGCUAACUACGUGCCAGCCGCCGCCGUAACAC